UACAGAGGGGGCAAGCGUUGUUCGGAAUUACUGGGCGUAAAGGGCGCGUAGGCGGCCUUCUAAGUCGAACGUGAAAUCCCUGGGCUCAACCCAGGAACUGCGUCCGAUACUGGAAGGCUUGAAUCCGGGAGAGGGAUGCGGAAUUCCAGGUGUAGCGGUGAAAUGCGUAGAUAUCUGGAGGAACACCGGUGGCGAAGGCGGCAUCCUGGACCGGCAUUGACGCUGAGGUGCGAAAGCCAGGGGAGCAAACGGG
rnacentral:rRNA from 1 species